UACGUAGGUGGCAAGCGUUGUCCGGAAUCACUGGGCGUAAAGCGCACGUAGGCGGACUCGUAGGUCAAUUGUGAAAUACCUGGCUCAACCCGGGAACUGCAGUUGAAACCGCUUGUCUUGAAUACCUGAGAGGGUGGGGGAAUACCUGGUGGAGAAGUGAAAUUCGUAGAGAUCAGGUGGAACACCGGAGGCGAAGGCGCCUGCCUGGCAGUGUAUUGACGCUGAGGUGCGAAAGUGCGGGGAGCAAACAGG
rnacentral:rRNA from 1 species